rnacentral:rRNA from 1 species
UACGGGGGGGGCAAGCGUUGUUCGGAAUUACUGGGCGUAAAGGGCUCGUAGGCGGCCAACUAAGUCCGACGUGAAAUCCCCAGGCUUAACCUGGGAACUGCGUCGGAUACUGGAUGGCUUGAAUCCGGGAGAGGGAUGCGGAAUUCCAGGUGUAGCGGUGAAAUGCGUAGAUAUUCGGAGGAACACCGGUGGCGAAGGCGGCUUCCUGGACCGGUUCUGACGCUGAUGGGCGAAAGCUAGGGUAGCAAACAGG